rnacentral:rRNA from 1 species
UAACGUAGGCAGCAAGCGUUGUUCGGAGUUACUGGGCGUAAAGAGCGCGUUAGGCGGGUCUUAAGUGAGAGGUGAAAGGUUCAGGGCUCAACCCGAACGUGCCUUUCAUACUGGGAGCCUUGAGUGUGGGAGAGGCGAGUGGAAUUUCUGGUGUAGCGGUGAAAUGCGUAGAUAUCAGAAGGAACAGCCCAUGGCGAAGGCAGCU